UACGUAGGCAGCAAGCGUUGUUCGGAAUUAUUGGGCGUAAAGAGUGUGUAGGCGGUGCUCUAAGUUCGGUGUGAAAUCUCCCGGCUCAACUGGGAGGGUGCGCCGAAAACUGGAAUGCUUGAACAUGGGAGAGGAAAGCGGAAUUCCUGGUGUAGCGGUGAAAUGCGUAGAUAUCAGGAGGAACACCUGCGGUGUAGACGGCUUUCUGGACCAUUGUUGACGCUGAGACACGAAAGCGUGGGUAGCAAACAGG
rnacentral:rRNA from 1 species